CACGCUCUACAUGGCUAUGACGUCACUGGCCCUUUCUGCUCUCGCCACAAAUGGCGUCUGUCCCUUUGACUGAAGCGACGUCAUUUUUGGCAGCCCUAGAAAACAUGCUUUUCUAUCAUCAAAGCUGUAAAGAGUAAGAAAUACCACAUUUUCUCACCGGUUAUAAGUCACCAAGAUUUGCUGCCAAAAAGUCAUUACAGCAACAUUCGAGCCAAGAAGUCCAAACAUCAUUUACAAAUAUGCACAUGAAUGCCAUUUAGUUAGAUGAUAACUUAAGUAAAGCUCUGCAACAAAUUUCACAAUAUAUUGUGUGCAGAGCACAUAUAUUGAAAAAAAUAUGUAUUAUUUAUUUAGGUAGGGGGGGGGGGUGAUGCACAGUACAUCAAUAUCGGGGGGCACAGCCAUGCCCCUAAUGCUCAUUUUUUUUAUACAUUUUUUUAUUUGGGGAAACCCCCUGCUACGGCCAUGUAGUUUUGCAUAUUUUACAUUUACAAAAAUGACCCAUUCAUAAAAACAAACAAAUCUAAAGAAGGCCAAUCGUGCAGCCGUUUUAUGCUCCCACGUAAUGCCAGGUCACACAAAGAAUCCAUUUCCAUCGGCUAAUUCAAGCGAGUUACCAAAAUAUUUUUAUUCAAAUAUUGUCAAUAACAUAUCAGACUUCAUUUGUAGAUCGUUAUUUUGAAGCUUCCUCAUGAAAAAAACUGUAUGUGAAAAAAAUUCACCAUUCUAUGUUUUAACUUUAUUGUUACACCUUUACCCUUGUCAACUAACAGCAUCCGUUGCAAUCAGAUAAGUUAUCUUUUCAUAUAGUUUAUCAAGCAUUGUACUUUAGAGAUCUUUUUUUAAGAUUUGAUUAAAGACAGCAAAAAUUGUGCGACAGAUACCUGUCUUGUGUGUGUUUCUUUACUAAGAGUAGAUAUGGAAUCCAGAUGAAACUCCCUAUGACUGGCAGCUUGAAAUUUAGUCUUUCCCUGAACGUUUCUUUUUCAGAGAAGGAAAGGCUACUUUAAUGUCAUGUAGUUGAUUUCUAAGAACUAGGGCAAUGUCAUCAAAUGACAUAUAGCAGUCCUAUUGUUGAUCUCACAACUGUCCUGUAGGAUUCUAAAACCUAUAGCCAUCAUGGUCUUUAGUUUUGUUUCUG